CGCCUUAUACUCCUACGGGAGGCAGCAGUGGGGAAUUUUGGACAAUGGGCGCAAGCCUGAUCCAGCAAUGCCGCGUGAGUGAAGAAGGCCUUCGGGUUGUAAAGCUCUUUUGUCAGGGAAGAAACGGGUCUUUCUAAUACAGAGACCUAAUGACGGUACCUGAAGAAUAAGCACCGGCUAACUACGUGCCAGCAGCCGCGGUAAUACGUAGGGUGCAAGCGUUAAUCGGAAUUACUGGGCGUAAAGCGUGCGCAGGCGGUUUUGUAAGACUGUCGUGAAAUCCCCGGGCUCAACCUGGGAAUGGCGAUGGUGACUGCAAGGCUAGAGUUUGGCAGAGGGGGGUAGAAUUCCACGUGUAGCAGUGAAACGCGUAGAUAUGUGGAGGAACACCGAUGGCGAAGGCAGCCCCCUGGGUCAAAACUGACGCUCAUGCACGAAAGCGUGGGGAGCAAACAGGAUUAGAAACCCCAGUAGUCCACGUACCA
rnacentral:rRNA from 1 species